AUUGAACGCUGGCGGCAUGCCUUACACAUGCAAGUCGAACGGCAGCGCGGGGGCAACCCUGGCGGCGAGUGGCGAACGGGUGAGUAAAAUAUCGGAACGUGCCCAGGAGUGGGGGAUAACGUAGCGAAAGUUACGCUAAUACCGCAUACGAUCUUAGGAUGAAAGCGGGGGAUCUUCGGACCUCGUGCUCAUGGAGUGGCCGAUAACUGAUUAGCUAGUUGGUGGGGUAAGAGCCCACCAAGGCGACGAUCAGUAGCUGGUCUGAGAGGACGACCAGCCACACUGGGACUGAGACACGGCCCAGACUCCUACGUGAGGCAGCAGUGGGGAAUUUUGGACAAUGGGGGCAACCCUGAUCCAGCAAUGCCGUGUGUGUGAAGAAGGCCUUCGGGUUGUAAAGCACUUUUGUCGGGGACGAAACGGUAGUGGCUAAUACCUGCUAUUAAUGACGGUACCCGAAGAAUAAGCACCGGCUAACUACGUGCCAGCAGCCGCCGCCG
rnacentral:rRNA from 1 species